CAAUAGCGUAUAUUAAAGUUGUUGCAGUUAAAAAGCUCGUAGUUGGAUUUCUGGUGGGAGCGAUCGGUCUGGCGCUUAGCGCGAGUACUUGCAUCGUCUCCGGCCAUCCUUGGGGAGAGUCUGUCUGGCAUUAGGUUGUCGGGCAGAGGAUCCUCAUCGUUUACUGUGAAAAAAUCAGAGUGUUCAAAGCAGGCUUAUGCCGUUGAAUAUAUUAGCAUGGAAUAAUAAGAUAGGACUUUGGUACUAUUUUGUUGGUUUGCGCACCAAAGUAAUGAUUAAUAGGGACAGUUGGGGGUAUUCGUAUUCCGUUGUCAGAGGUGAAAUUCUUGGAUUUACGGAAGACGAACUACUGCGAAAGCAUUUACCAAGGAUGUUUUCAUUAA
rnacentral:rRNA from 1 species